rnacentral:rRNA from 1 species
UACAGAGGGUGCGAGCGUUGUUCGGAAUUACUGGGCGUAAAGCGCGUGUAGGCGGGUCAUUAAGUCAGAUGGGAAAUCCCGGGGCCUAACUCCGGAAGUGCAUUUGAAACUGAUGAGCUGGAGUGAUGUAGAGGAUGGCGGAAUACCCAGUGUAGUGGUGAAAUACGUAGAGAUUGGGUAGAACACCGGUGGCGAAGGCGGCCAUCUGGGCAUUAACUGACGCUGAGACGCGAAAGCGUGGGGAGCAAACAGG